rnacentral:rRNA from 1 species
CUGUGUGUUGUUGGGUAGGGGAGCGUUCUGUAAGCCUGCGAAGGUGUGCUGUGAGGCAUGCUGGAGGUAUCAGAAGUGCGAAUGCUGACAUAAGUAACGAUAAAGCGGGUGAAAAGCCCGCUCGCCGGAAGACCAAGGGUUCCUGUCCAACGUUAAUCGGGGCAGGGUGAGUCGACCCCUAAGGCGAGGCCGAAAGGCGUAGUCGAUGGGAAACAGGUUAAUAUUCCUGUACUUGGUGUUACUGCGAAGGGGGGACGGAGAAGGCUAUGUUGGCCGGGCGACGGUUGUCCCGGUUUAAGCGUGUAGGCUGGUUUUCCAGGCAAAUCCGGAAAAUCAAGGCUGAGGCGUGAUGACGAGGCACUACGGUGCUGAAGCAACAAAUGCCCUGCUUCCAGGAAAAGCCUCUAAGCAUCAGGUAACAUCAAAUCGUACCCCAAACCGACACAGGUGGUCAGGUAGAGAAUACCAAGGCGCUUGAGAGAACUCGGGUGAAGGAACUAGGCAAAAUGGUGCCGUAACUUCGGG